UACGUAGGGUGCGAGCGUUAAUCGGAAUUACUGGGCGUAAAGCGUGCGCAGGCGGUGAUGUAAGUCAGAUGUGAAAUCCCCGGGCUCAACCUGGGAACUGCAUUUGUGACUGCAUCGCUGGAGCGCGGCAGAGGGGGACGGAAUUCCGCGUGUAGCAGUGAAAUGCGUAGAUAUGCGGAGGAACACCGAUGGCGAAGGCAAUCCCCUGGGCCUGCACUGACGCUCAUGCACGAAAGCGUGGGGAGCAAACAGG
rnacentral:rRNA from 1 species